GUGUUCACUUUGACAGCACAUAUACAAAAAUUGGAACUAUACAGAGAAGAUUAGCAUGGCCCCUGUGCAGGAUGACAUACAAAUUUGUGAAGCAUUCCACUUUUUU
ensembl:snRNA U6 U6 spliceosomal RNA